rnacentral:rRNA from 1 species
GGUUUCGGCUGUCACUUACAGAUGGACCCGCGGCGCAUUAGCUAGUUGGUGAGGUAACGGCUCACCAAGGCGACGAUGCGUAGCCGACCUGAGAGGGUGAUCGGCCACACUGGGACUGAGACACGGCCCAGACUCCUACGGGAGGCAGCAGUAGGGAAUCUUCCGCAAUGGACGAAAGUCUGACGGAGCAACGCCGCGUGAGUGAUGAAGGUUUUCGGAUCGUAAAGCUCUGUUGUUAGGGAAGAACAAGUGCAAGAGUAACUGCUUGCACCUUGACGGUACCUAACCAGAAAGCCACGGCUAACUACGUGCCAGCAGCCGCGGUAAUACGUAG